UACGUAGGGGCCUAGCGUUGUCCGGAAUUAUUGGGCGUAAAGAGCUCGUAGGUGGUUCGGCAAGUCGGAUGUGAAAUCUCCACGCUUAACGUGGAGGGGCCAUUCGAAACUGCUGUGACUUGAGUCCGGUAGGGGAGUGUGGAAUUCCCGGUGUAGCGGUGAAAUGCGUAGAUAUUGGGAGGAACACCAGUGGCGAAGGCGGCUCACUGGACCGGUACUGACGCUGAUGCGCGAAAGCGUGGGGAGCAAACGGGG
rnacentral:rRNA from 1 species